CAGGAUGAACGCUGGCGGCGUGCCUAAUACAUGCAAGUCGAACGAGAGAGCUUGCUCUCUAGUGGCGAACGGGUGAGUAACACGUAGGUAACCUGCCUUACAGUUGGGAUACCCUGGCGAAAGCUAGGCUAAUACCGAAUAAUUGGAUUGGAGGCAUCUCCGAUCUCUAAAAGGGGCCUUUAAAGCCUCGCUGAAUGAUGGACCUGCGGCGCAUUAGCUAGUUGGUGAGAUAACAGCCCACCAAGGCGAGGAUGCGUAGCCGACCUGAGAGGGUGAACGGCCACACUGGAACUGAGACACGGUCCAGACUCCUACGGGAGGCAGCAGUAGGGAGUUUUCGGCAAUGGGGCAACCCUGACCGAGCAACGCCGCGUGAAUGAAUGAAGGUCUUCGGAUUGUAAAGUUCUGUUAUAAGGGAAAAAUGAUAGGGUGAGGAAAUGCUCUCUAUUUGAUGGUACCUUAUUAGAAAGCCACGGCUAACUACGUGCCAGCCGCGGC
rnacentral:rRNA from 1 species